rnacentral:rRNA from 1 species
UACGAAGGGGGCUAGCGUUGCUCGGAAUUACUGGGCGUAAAGGGCGCGUAGGCGGCACUGUUAGUCAGGCGUGAAAGUCCUGGGCUCAACCUGGGAACUGCGCUUGAUACGGCAGAGCUAGAGGAUGGAAGAGGCUCGCGGAAUUCCCAGUGUAGAGGUGAAAUUCGUAGAUAUUGGGAAGAACACCGGUGGCGAAGGCGGCUAUCUGGACCGGUACUGACGCUGAUACGCGAAAGCCAGGGGAGCAAACGGG